rnacentral:lncRNA from 1 species
AUCUCCGAAACGAAGCAUUUGCGGAUAUAUGCUUAUAGAGCACACGUCAUUAUGUUUUCAUUUACACCUUAAAGUGUGUUGCACUUAUUUAGAAACAUCCUGUAUAAUGUAUUUCAUAGGUGCGUGUAAAUAUUUCAAAGAUUAAAUGUAAUUAUUUUUAUUUUAUUUAUGCAACAAAAUAGAGCUGAAAAAAAGAAAUAUUUUAACAGUUUGUUGUUUUACUAUUCGGUUUAUCCCGAACAAACGUCGGGAUAUAAUUAAAACUCAACGACAUAUCCCUAAAACUAUGUCAUGUUUAGUCAUUCCACACAUUGAAAAAAUUUAAUCUCGUUUGAAAAGUCCUGUCAAAAGAACUGGUGCAGUCUGCAAUAUUGUAUUAAAUUUGAAUAUGAGCCACUGCAACUGUCGAAUGAUAUAUUUCUGCAGUUAAUAUGAAAGUGGCUCUCGAAAUGCAGAGGAUGUAGAAUAUUUUCUCUUUAAAAUAUUUAAUAAAGUCGGCUAUUAAUAUUUGCGAAGAGAAAAAUCCGUUUAAAAUUUAUAAGAGAAUUAAGCGUCGGGGCUAGAAUUUGUUUUUUAACUAGAAAAUGCCAACACAAGAUAAAACAGUAACGGGCUAUUAAAAAAAAAACAAAAAACUCAUAAUCUUUUAUAAAUAAUGAUGUUAUAUUUUACAUAGAGUAUUAUGAUUCAAAAGUAUGGAAUAAAUUCAUCAUUUCAGAAACAAGUCUAAAACGGCAAUAGGUGUAUGUUUUCAAAAACUGAUAGUGAAACAUUUAUUAAAAGUCAUCUAAAUAAUUUCAGCAUAUCAAAAUGGCAUCAUCAAAGACAAGGAGAAGUAGUGCAAGAAUAUGGGCUAGUGUAGUUAAUAUAAAGAUCGUAAAAUAUAUAUAUGUAGUGAACACUUAGUUCCUUAGAAUACAAAAAAAAAA